rnacentral:rRNA from 1 species
GCAUAUCAAUAAGCGGAGGAAAAGAAACUAACAAGGAUUCCCUUAGUAACGGCGAGUGAAGUGGGAAUGGCUCAAAUUUUAAAUCUGAUCGGGAAACCGGUCCGAAUUGUAAUCUAAAGAAGCGUUUACAGCGUCCUUUCGGGUAUAGGUCCCUUGGAAUAGGGCAUCAUAGAGGGUGAGAAUCCCGUCUGUGGCACGAGUUUGGAUGCGAUAUGUUACGCUUUCGACGAGUCGAGUUGUUUGGGAUUGCAGCUCAAAAUGGGUGGUAAAUUCCAUCUAAGGCUAAAUAAUUGCAAGAGACCGAUAGCGAACAAGUACCGUGAGGGAAAGAUGAAAAGAACUUUGAAAAGAGAGUUAAAUAGUACGUGAAAUUGUUGAAAGGGAAACGAUUGAAGCCAGUCGUGCCUGCGGGUAAUCAGCCUUUUGGGUGUGAUUCUGUGGAGCGUGAGGAGUUAAACGCCUUCAUGCCUGCAUAUUCGUGCACUUUGGGUGUACUUGCCCGUGUGGUUGGUUAACAUCAAUUUUGGACGUCAUAAAAUGACUGGAGGAAUGUAGCUUCGAUCUCGUAUUGAAGUGUUAUAGCCUUCGGUAGAUGUGAUGAUCGGGAUUGAGGAUUGCAACGGAUACCCUUCGGGGCUACCUGUCUGAUCUCUGAUCGUUGCUCUGGUGCCGAAAGCGUGCUUACGGUUAUCAAAGUCGAUGGUCAAUAGGUUAGAACGGGUUAAGUUCGUUAAGGAUGUUGACGUA